AAAAAUCAUCAAUAGGUUCUAGUUCUACAACUUCUCGAAAUGACAUGAUGGGCUUUUUGAGCAAAUUUGGAGAUUUGGCAAAAACACUUGCCUCGAAUGUUAAAGAGAUGUAUGGCAUGUUAGAACAAGCAAAAGAUCUUUUUGUUGAGGAAGAAACAAAUGGAAAAAUGCAACAUCUCAUAGACAACAUAUGGUGCAAGUACACAACAAAGACAUUCGUGAACCAAGAAGAAAAG